GGUGUGGCCAAGUGGUAAGGCAAGGGACUUUGACUCCCUCAUCCGCAGGUUCAAUUCCUGCCACC
rnacentral:tRNA from 1 species